rnacentral:rRNA from 1 species
UACGUAGGGGGGCAAGCGUUGUCCGGAUUUAUUGGGCGUAAAGAGCGUGUAGGCGGCUAGGUAGGUCCGUUGUGAAAACUCGAGCUCAACCUCGAGACGCCGGUGGAAACCAUCUAGCUAGAGUCCGGAAGAGGAGAGUGGAAUUCCUGGUGUAGCGGUGAAAUGCGCAGAUAUCAGGAAGAACACCUAUGGCGAAGGCAGCUCUCUGGGACGGUACUGACGCUGAGACGCGAAAGCGUGGGGAGCGAACAGG